UGUGAGAGAGACUGGAGAUGAGAGAACAGCAGGAGUCGAUUGAGGUUGAAAGGCUGCUGGGGCAGGACUAGAAAAGGGGAGCGCUGAGAGACCGGUCAGAGGACCUGACCGCUGACCGCUGACCCGAGGCUGCGUGCCCAGGAAAGAGGAGGAUGAAGAAACUGGGGCUCUGAAUAGCAUAUUAACGCGUGCAGCUCUAGACAGCGAGGAAGUGAUGGCAACUCUAUCCGAACUCAAAUCUGCCAAACCUAUACCAGUAGGUGCCUGUGUGCAAUUGGGGACUCACCUCUGCCAGUGCUGGCAUGAGCUAGCUGUCUUGAAAUGAAAACAGACACUCAAAGAUGGGCUGUGGGAUCCCAGAGAGGUGGCAGAAUGGUCAAAGCUAUGAAGCCAACAGCUGCUGCCAAGAAGAAAUUCCUGAGCCCUGAGUGAUUGUAAUUUAAAAAACUUAAUGCUGGGAGUGGGUGUUUAUUUUGGAGGAGUGGGCUGCUUAUUUUUGGUUUGGGGACUUGUUCAUUCAUCUUUUCUCAGCGGCGCCUACUGCUGCCCUGGCCCGAAGUUAAAGCUCAAUAAAUCACUGUUGCACAACUGAGUGCCCCCA